CCUACGGGUGGCAGCAGUGAGGAAUAUUGGUCAAUGGGCUUACGCCUGAACCAGCCAAGUCGCGUGAGGGAAGACUGCCCUAUGGGUUGUAAACCUCUUUUGUCAGGGAGCAACGCCGGCUACGUGUAGCCGGACUGAGAGUACCUGAAGAAAAAGCAUCGGCUAACGCCGUGCCAGCAGCCGCGGUAAUACGGAGGAUGCGAGCGGUAUCCGGAUUUAUUGGGUUUAACGGGUGCGUAGGCGGAAUGCCAAGUCAGCGGUAAAAUCGCGGGGCUCAACCUCGCUCCGCCGUUGAAACUGGCGGUCUUGAGUGGGCGAGAAGUAUGCGGAAUGCGUGGUGUAGCGGUGAAAUGCAUAGAUAUCACGCAGAACUCCGAUUGCGAAGGCAGCAUACCGGCGCCCAACUGACGCUGAAGCACGAAAGCGUGGGUAUCGAACAGGAUUAGAUACCCUUGUAGUC
rnacentral:rRNA from 1 species